CCUUUUGGAGAAGACUCUUUCCCUCCCCAGGACAGCAGCAGUUGCCCUACUGAGUUAAUGUGAUAAGGAGAAAAAAAAAAGGGAUUGAUGGUUAAGAGAAUGGUUGAACACAGCACAUCUCAGGAUGGGGCAAUAUUUGGUGAGAACCAUAUUGGAUUCUACCAAAUUACAAAUAUAUUCCAGGUUGGCCUGAUCACUCACUCACCACUCCCUGCAACUCCAUGGAGAAGAUAUAAGCUGUCAAAAAUGUAUUUGUGAGUCUGAUGAGCUCUUUCACCCAGGGCGAAGAAUGCAUGAAGGAAAUGAACAUGAUGGAUCAUAUACAUCAUACUGUCAUCCCCCAAGAGUGAGACAAACAGUAUCUUGAGGAGGCUCACACUGUCUUCCUGAUAAAAGCCAACAAGAAUGUGCAUUAAAAUGGAUCCUGUAUUUUAUGAUAAACUAUUCUCGCCCUGUGUUAUAUUGUGUUUUAUACAUAUAUACACCCCACCUUUAUGGAAUAAAAAUGAAUUCAGUGGACCUAAGGCAUUUGCUCUGGGGAUUUGGGAAUUAAAUACUGGAGGGCUAGACAAUGUCAAAAAUUGGAGUGGAAUUAAG
rnacentral:lncRNA from 1 species